UGGGGAGAAACACAUGAUCCAAUGAAUAUUAGUAACUUAAACCUAUCAGAAUUUUGGUUUGUGCAUGAUUUAGAACUAAGUUUUAAUAAAAAGAAAGAUAUUAGCAUAAUAUCUUAAGACAUGUCAGGACACCAGAGGUACAGCUUUGUCAAUUCAAGCAGGGCCAUGCUUAUGUGUAGGUUAGUAGAAUUCUCUACAUGAGCUAAACACAAUUCCAACUCAUUCAAUGCAGGUAGGUUAGGGAACAAACUGUGGCUAACUGCUGUUGUUGAGCAAACGUAUCUUAGAGUCUGCAGCACUGGUGACCUGAAGAGCCUGUACAAUUGAGCAAGUUGAAAGAAAUGCUACCAAUGCAAGGAUCCCUACAGCCCCGUCCAUUUUACAUCAUCUAGUCUCCAGCUGUUUACUGAGGUGAAAAGCAAGCGGACAUUAAACCAACAACUGGAAAAAGUAGAAAGAGGACUGAUACAACCGGAGGGCGCCCGUCAAAUCCGACACGUCAGCUGCAGUUUCCAAGGCUCCACUCCGUCUGCCCCCUCUUCAGUCAAUCUGGCCUCCACCAUCACUACAGAAACCGGCCAUCUGCUGUGGGUCCCACGGAGUCCCUACUACUACAAUGCCUGCGCAUUUAGCCAUCUGGUCACCCAUCCUCCCCAUCUUCACUGAGAAGUCAAGUUUUCUUCUGUCACGAAUUAAAUUAUCUCUGUUCUGGGUUCCA